rnacentral:rRNA from 1 species
UACAGAGGGGGCAAGCGUUAUUCGGAAUUAUUGGGCGUAAAGGGCGCGUAGGCGGCUUGGCAAGUGGGAGGUGAAAUCCCUCGGCUUAACCGAGGAACUGCCCUCCAAACUGCUUUGCUUGAGGCCGGGAGAGGCGAGUGGAAUUCCCAGUGUAGCGGUGAAAUGCGUAGAUAUUGGGAGGAACACCAGUGGCGAAGGCGGCUCGCUGGACCGGUUCUGACGCUGAUGCGCGAAAGCGUGGGGAGCAAACGGG